UGUGUUCCUGGCAGUCCCCUGGGCUUCCUGCAGGGACCUGGAUUCUUAGUAUUUCAGGCUGCUGUCCCUUUUUUUUUUUCAUUUCCUUUUUGUUUUUGUUGUUGAUGUGACCGCGUGUCCACAACCCUGGGAUUCCCUCGCCCUCAGAUUCCAGAAUCCAAUUUCUUGGAUUUCAGUGUUUUUAAGGAUUCCGUGAGUCAGGAGCUUGGCCAGGCUCAGCUGGGACACUCAUCUUUGCUUCACCUCAUGUCAGCUGCAGCAUCUUAGGAAUGCAAGACAGCCUCAUUCACAUCCGGCGGCGGGUGCUGGCUGUCCACUGGGUGCCUUCGCUCUUUUUCAAGUGGUUUCUCAUCCUCUGGGGUUUCACUGUCUCCAUGUGGCCUCCCUAGCAAGUUGCUUAGAUUUCUUUACGUGGAAACUGGCUUUCUCAUGGCAGCCUCUCCAGGGGCUGGCGUUCCUGAUGGAGGGGAACCAGCAGCUUCAAGCAGAAGCCAAAAAGACACCCCAUCCUGGCCCUCCAGACGUCCUGGAGCCCUACUAGCAGUGUCUGUGAAAAGCCUUUCAAGGCGACCUUGUGGGUUCCAACACACAGUCGUUUAAAUGGUUUAUUGCCCCAUAAACAGGGCUCCGCAAGGACGCUGCAAGCUGUGUUAUUUCAAAUGCUCAGUAUCUGUCUUUUCAGGGUUUGGAUUUACCUUUCCCGGCUGUGGGUACUUCCUUAUUCUGGGCAGGCUGACAUUUGUCGAAGCAAAGUGGAUAUACUGGGCUGGCAGAAUGCCCUCCCACCUCUCGGGCCUGCAUGAGGAGGAGCUGGAGGAAUGUUCUUCCUCUUGCUUC
rnacentral:lncRNA from 1 species